rnacentral:rRNA from 1 species
GUGCCAGCAGCAGCGGUAAUACGAAGGGGGCUAGCGUUGUUCGGAUUUACUGGGCGUAAAGCGCACGUAGGCGGACUUUUAAGUCAGGGGUGAAAUCCCGGGGCUCAACCCCGGAACUGCCUUUGAUACUGGGAGUCUUGAGUAUGGAAGAGGUGAGUGGAAUUCCGAGUGUAGAGGUGAAAUUCGUAGAUAUUCGGAGGAACACCAGUGGCGAAGGCGGCUCACUGGUCCAUUACUGACGCUGAGGUGCGAAAGCGUGGGAGCAAACAGGAUUAGAUACCCUGGUAGUCCACGCCGUAAACGAUGAAUGUAGCCGUCGGGAUUAUCUUUCGGUGGCGCAGCUAACGCAUUAACAUUCCGCCUGGGGAGUACGGUCGCAAGAUU